GAGUUUUUGAUGUCGCAGAUACUGCAUCAGGAACUGAUUGGAUAAUAAUCAGUCGCCAUCAGUUCCUAAUGCAUUGCCUUCAGCAUCUAAACA
rnacentral:pre_miRNA from 1 species